GCGCCCAUAGUUCAACGGAUCGAAUAUAGCCCUCCGAAGGCUGAGAUCGAGGUUCAAUUCCUCGUGGGCGCA
rnacentral:tRNA from 1 species